rnacentral:rRNA from 1 species
CCCUUAGACGUUCUGGGCCGCACGCGCGCUACACUGACGGAGCCAGCGAGUAUAAACCUUGGCCGAGAGGUCUGGGAAAUCUUGUGAAACUCCGUCGUGCUGGGGAUAGAGCAUUGUAAUUAUUGCUCUUCAACGAGGAAUUCCUAGUAAGCGCAAGUCAUCAGCUUGCGUUGAUUACGUCCCUGCCCUUUGUACACACCGCCCGUCGCUACUACCGAUUGAAUGGCUUAGUGAGGCUUCCGGAUUGGUUUAGGGAAGGGGGCAACUCCAUCUUGGAACCGAGAAGCUAGUCAAACUUGGUCAUUUAGAGGAAGUAAAAGUCGUAACA